rnacentral:rRNA from 2 species
GCGCGCGCAGGCGGUCCUUUAAGUCUGAUGUGAAAUCCCGUGGCUUAACCACGGGCGGUCAUUGGAAACUGGGGGACUUGAGUGCAGAAGAGAAGAGCGGAAUUCCACGUGUAGCGGUGAAAUGCGUAGAGAUGUGGAGGAACACCAGUGGCGAAGGCGGCUCUUUGGUCUGUAACUGACGCUGAGGCGCGAAAGCGUGGGGAGCGAACAGGAUUAGAUACCCUGGUAGUCCACGCCGUAAACGAUGAGUGCUAAGUGUUAGAGGGUUUCCGCCCUUUAGUGCUGCAGUUAACGCAUUAAGCACUCCGCCUGGGGAGUACGGCCGCAAGGCUGAAACUCAAAGGAAUUGACGGGGGCCCGCACAAGCGGUGGAGCAUGUGGUUUAAUUCGAAGCAACGCGAAGAACCUUACCAGGUCUUGACAUCCCGCUGCCCGGUCUGGAGACAGGCCUUUCCCUUCGGGGACAGCGGUGACAGGUGGUGCAUGGUUGUCGUCAGCUCGUGUCGUGAGAUGUUGGGUUAAGUCCCGCAACGAGCGCAACCCUUGACCUUAGUUGCCAGCAUUCAGUUGGGCACUCUAAGGUGACUGCCGGUGACAAACCGGAGGAAGGUGGGGAUGACGUCAAAUCAUCAUGCCCCUUAUGACCUGGGCUACACACGUGCUACAAUGGAUGGUACAAAGGGUUGCAAGACCGCGAGGUUAAGCCAAUCCCAUAAAACCAUUCUCAGUUCGGAUUGCAGGCUGCAACUCGCCUGCAUGAAGCCGGAAUCGCUAGUAAUCGUGGAUCAGCAUGCCACGGUGAAUACGUUCCCGGGCCUUGUACACACCGCCCGUCACACCACGAGAGUCUGUAACACCCGAAGUCGGUGGGGUAACCUUUUGGAGCCAGCCGCC